UUGUCCACAAUAAUCCCUACCCCAUUUCUUGAUCUGAUUUUUCCGGUAUACCACAGCUUAAAUCCCGAGUUGUCUAAUUCUUUCGCUUUUUCACCUGUCCACUUAGUUUCUUGUAGGCACAUAAAAUUGAUCUUCCUCCUCACCAUAACAUCCACUAUUUCCAUAGAUUUUCCAGUAAGUGUGCCUAUAUUCCAUGUACCAAAGCGAAUCCUCCUGUCAUGAACUAGCUUCUUUACCCACACCCGUUCACGAAAAUGUGGGAACCCUUGCUUACUUUUCACUACAUCCGGGCGGCGAUGCAGCGGCCCUUGCUCUUUUGACACUGUACUCGAG
rnacentral:lncRNA from 1 species